rnacentral:sRNA from 12 species
AGCCUAAACCAUGAGAUUUUAUCGUGGCAGGGCGAAAAAUCCCAGUGAAAGAUAGAGAACUCCUCGUCAGAGUUGCCUUUCACUGGGUGACAAUCCGAAAGGGUUGUCGGUAGCUUUUGCUACC